rnacentral:rRNA from 1 species
GUAGGUGGCAAGCGUUGUCCGGAAUUAUUGGGCGUAAAGCGCGCGCAGGCGGUUCUUUAAGUCUGAUGUGAAAGCCCACGGCUCAACCGUGGAGGGUCAUUGGAAACUGGAGAACUUGAGUACAGAAGAGGAAAGCGGAAUUCCACGUGUAGCGGUGAAAUGCGUAGAGAUGUGGAGGAACACCAGUGGCGAAGGCGGCUUUCUGGUCUGUAACUGACGCUGAGGCGCGAAAGCGUGGGGAGCAAACAGGAUUAGAUACCCUGGUAGUCCACGCCGUAAACGAUGAGUGCUAAGUGUUAGGGGGGUUUCCGCCCCCCUUAGUGCUGCAGCUAACGCAUGAAGCAUUCCGCCUGGGAGUACGGCCGCAAGGCUG